ensembl:snoRNA snoRNA:185 snoRNA:185
CCACGAUUCUGACGGGGUUGCUCCUGCCUAGAGUUGUCGGUUUAACUGAUGGUCU